rnacentral:rRNA from 1 species
UGAAGAACCUACUAUCAUUAUCUGAAUACAUAGGAUAAUGAGGCAAACCGGGAGAACUGAAACAUCUAAGUACCCCGAGGAAAAGAAAUCAACCGAGAUUUUGUUAGUAGCGGCGAGCGAACGCGAAAGAGCCAGUUAGUGAUAGCAAGUUUGUUAGGAGAAUGCUCUGGGAAGGGCAAUCGUAGAGGGUGAUAAUCCCGUAUCCGAAAACAUCCUUGUGGUACUAGGCUAACAACAAGUAGGGCGGGACACGUGAUAUCCUGUUUGAAGAUGGGGGGACCAUCCUCCAAGGCUAAAUACUCCUGAUUGACCGAUAG